rnacentral:rRNA from 1 species
CUCCUACGGGGGGCAGCAGUGGGGAAUAUUGCACAAUGGGGGAAACCCUGAUGCAGCAACGCCGCGUGAGUGAAGAAGUAUUUCGGUAUGUAAAGCUCUAUCCGCAGGGAAGAAGAUGACGGUACCUGAUUAAGAAGCCCCGGCUAACUACGUGCCAGCAGCCGCGGCAAUACGUAGGGGGCAAGCGUUAUCCGGAUUUACUGGGUGUAAAGGGAGCGCAGACGGCAGUGCAAGUCUGGAGUGAAA